GUGGGGAAUUUUGGACAAUGGGCGCAAGCCUGAUCCAGCGACGCCGCGUGGAGGACGAAGGCCUUCGGGUUGUAAACUCCUUUUGGAGGGGAAGAAUAAAUUGACGGUACCCUCUGAAAAAGCCACGGCUAACUACGUGCCAGCAGCCGCGGUAAUACGUAGGUGGCGAGCGUUACUCGGAAUUACUAGGCGUAAAGCGUAUGUAGGUGGUUAGAUAAGUCUAUGGUGAAAUUUCCUGGCUUAACUGGGAAGGGACAUAGAUACUAUCUGGCUUGAGUGUGGGAGGGGGAGACGGAAUUCCUGGUGUAGCGGUGAAAUGCGUAGAUAUCAGGAGGAACACCGAUGGCGAAAGCAGUCUCCUGGCCCAAUACUGACACUGAGGUACGAAAGCUAGGGUAGCAAACAGGAUUAGAAACCCGGGUAGUCC
rnacentral:rRNA from 1 species